AGCCAGACUCCUACGGGAGGCAGCAGUGGGGAAUAUUGCACAAUGGGGGAAACCCUGAUGCAGCGACGCCGCGUGAGUGAAGAAGUAUUUCGGUAUGUAAAGCUCUAUCAGCAGGGAAGAUAAUGACGGUACCUGACUAAGAAGCCCCGGCUAACUACGUGCCAGCAGCCGCGGUAAUACGUAGGGGGCAAGCGUUAUCCGGAUUUACUGGGUGUAAAGGGUGCGUAGGUGGCAGGGCAAGUCAGAUGUGAAAGCCCGGGGCUCAACCCCGGUACUGCAUUUGAAACUGUCCAGCUGGAGUGCAGGAGAGGUAAGCGGAAUUCCUAGUGUAGCGGUGAAAUGCGUAGAUAUUAGGAGGAACACCAGUGGCGAAGGCGGCUUACUGGACUGUAACUGACACUGAGGCACGAAAGCGUGGGGAGCAAACAGGAUUAGAUACCCCUGUAA
rnacentral:rRNA from 1 species